rnacentral:lncRNA from 1 species
GGACAAAAAUGAGAUACAAGUCAAAAAAAAUUAUUUUGAAACAAAUAUUGCUCCUGCUAAUAUUUUGUUUCUAAUAAUUUUGUUGUUCCUGUUUUUUUGGUCUUCAAAUGAUUAGACACGUGUUUCACCUCCACAUCAGCAUAUUCNAUGCCUGAUGUAUUUGCUUUGCUGUCGGAUCUAAAAAACAAUAAAAAUAAUAAGACAGAACAUCACCAAAAAAUAAAAAGGUAAAUAUGGAUAAAAAAUACGUACUUUGUAACCCCUGUAACCCCAUGUUAG